CCUACGGGGCGCAGCAGUGGGGGAUAUUGCACAAUGGGGGGAACCCUGAUGCAGCGACGCCGCGUGGGCGAUGGAGUACUUCGGUAUGUAAAGCCCUAUCAGCAGGGAAGAAAAUGACGGUACCUGACUAAGAAGCCCCGGCUAAAUACGUGCCAGCAGCCGCGGUAAUACGUAGGGGGCAAGCGUUAUCCGGAUUUACUGGGUGUAAAGGGAGCGUAGACGGUGCAGCAAGUCUGAUGUGAAAGGUCGGGGCCCAACCCCGGGACUGCAUUGGAAACUGUUGAACUGGAGUACAGGAGAGGUAA
rnacentral:rRNA from 1 species